rnacentral:rRNA from 1 species
UACGUAGGGUGCGAGCGUUGUCCGGAAUUAUUGGGCGUAAAGAGCUCGUAGGCGGUUUGUUGCGUCGGCCGUGAAAACCUGCAGCUUAACUGUGGGCCUGCGGCCGAUACGGGCAGACUUGAGUUCGGUAGGGGAGACUGGAAUUCCUGGUGUAGCGGUGAAAUGCGUAGAUAUCAAGAGGAACACCUGAGGUGAAGACGGGUUGCUGGGCUGACACUGACGCUGAGGCGCGAAAGCCAGGGGAGCAAACGGG